UUUAAUAUACAUAAAUUUACCCCGCUGUGAACAAUUCAAAUUGUGAAAUGCGUUAGGAACAUAUAAAUGCCAAAAAAGUGCAAAUUUACAUGAAAAUGCCAUGCAUUGUUUCCCAUAAAAAUAGUACAGAUUUCAUCAUACGAUGGUUUUCCCAAAAUUCUGUAAAUAAUUCAAUACACACAAUAAUUCAAACGAAAUGACUUAUUUGCACAUACUUUCCUCCAUUAUCUAAACAUAUUUAUUUAACUUAAGUAUCAUAUUGAGGUAGUACAACUGUAAUCAUUUCCCGCGUUGUUUUGUAAGAUCGGUUGACAUCGGCUAAUGUCGGUAAAUACCGUAACUGAAGUCGUGAGAUAUCCGUUUUGUUCGGUUUAUUACUUACAAAGUAUAAAUCUUAAAUAAAAACAUGUUUUAUAUAAUUCCAUAAAAGAUUGUAUCGCUGAUAUGCGCAGUUUAAUAUAUUACGACGUCAAAAUACAUUUUUGUUUAAAAAUUGUUUAAAAAAUGAACCGGAAGAAAUAUAUUUUCGAGACAACAUAAAAAACAAAAAUCGUGAAUCGUAACCAAAAAGACUUUUAACGAGUAAAAAAGAAGUAGCAAAACAGAAAAAAGUCUUUAUAAUCAUUUAUAUUCUGGGUCUUGACAAAAAAUUGAUAGCACACUAGCGUCCUCAUCGACGGAAUCGUGGAAAAUAGGUCGGCGGUAAGUGGAAUGGGACGUGAUGCUGAAUUGUUUAAUGUAUUAUUCUGCAUGUGGACUUGGACCUGUUCCACUGGCAUUAAAAUCCAUAAACGGCGAAUUACAGAAAGGACUGUGAGGGUAUAUGUGCUUAGAGUGUAGUAAAAUUGACUGCCAGUUGGUAAACAAUGCUUGGUAUGGUUAAACCCACACAGUCUAAGACAAUGGAAAAAUGGACCUGGAAAAGUGGAAUACCAUGCUUUGUUGUCAACACAAAACUUGAAACAGCAAUGGUGGGCAGCCUGGGUGGACCAUCCCGUGUAAACAAUAUGUUGUCCACAUUAAACCUAAAAAAAUAUCGGACACCAACUUAAAAAUAUUGGAACAGCCAGCUGGUGAGGUGAAAGAGCAAGUUGCAACUGAAUAAGCUAGGAUUGCUUUCUCAAAUGAAAUAACUUGAAGGAAGGGAACUCCUGCAGGUUACUCAUAUGCAUCGGUGGAAGUCCAGUCUGGUAGUCAGUUCGCAGCAUACGUCACGCCAACUGUUCCAAUAACUAAAGAGGCUUUACAAGUUACAGGCAUUUCAUUGACUGAUGGGACAAUGACAUUCAUUGGAUAAAUUGUGCUGCUAGUGUCAAUUUUAGUGGCUGUCGAAAGAAUUAUACAUUGGCUUGAACAGUUUUCAAAUGUGUGCUUAGUUGUUCGAAAUGGUCGUCGUUUUGAUUAAACAAUCUUUGUUUCGAUCUAAGUAAAUGUAAGUGCAAUAGAUAUUUUCUAUAACUGUGCUUUUAUCGAUUCUCCAUCAAUAUUCAGAAAAUUAUAUCCAAAGCAGUCCUUGAAGCAAGUGAAUUUAGUUUUACAAUUGCUUGGUGAAACAUACAAUGUCCCGAUGCUAUGGCAGAUGUGGCAGCACUUAAAAAGUUGCUCCAAUUUGUGAAUUUAUUUAUGGUACUGCAUUAUAUCCAUAAUGCCCGUUAUAAAUCCAACACAUUUCAUCAAAGCACCCUUACUUCUUUUUGAGUUAUCGUAGGAUCCAUUUUGUUUGAUGUUUUGUUUCUAUUUUUAUUAACAGUGACCUGAUCAAUCUCAUAAGCUGAAAAAUGAAGGGUUGUACUUAAUCCCUACAUUGCCUUUUAUAUGCAUGCCAACGCUCACCAAAUGUGCUAAAGUAUUUGUAACUAACUGCAGGAUAUAGUGUAGAAAGCCCUGCCCAUGUCAAAGGAACUUAUAAGUAUACGCUUAUUUAGUUUCGUUAUGAAAUUUUGCAUUAAUAUUUGUGUUUGUACAUUGUUAUUAAAUGAAUACAAGUUUGUUAGGUAGGGGUCAUUAUAAUUUAAAUCUAACAAUGUUAAAGAUCUUGGUUAACAGAGAAAAAUACUUAGCAUACAACUUUGUUUUUUUUCACUUUUCAUACCUACUCAUGCAUACACCCCCACCACCUCACCAACGCCAUCCAUACAUUGGCAGAUUUAGCAUUACUGCAUAAUGUAUUAAAACUAUGUAUAAAGAGAAUAAGAACAUUGAAGGUGUUAAUUGAAUUAGUAAAUGCCUCUGUUUAUUUUUAUAGUCCUAUUACAUUUUAGUGCAUUGUUCAAUAUACACGGGUAUAUUGUUGUUGUUUUUUUUUACUUUCAUUUAAGCUGCUCACAUGUCUCUGAUAAAAUAUAUACACCCAAAUUCCAAAGAAAUAACAUACAACUUAUAAAAAAGAAGAAAACUUUGUAUUGGUGAUAAUUGUAUACACGGGUUGAACUUGUAGUUUUUAAGGACCUUACAUAAUCAAUAAGAUUGUUUUCAUUA